rnacentral:rRNA from 1 species
GGAUUAGAUACCCUGGUAGUCCACGCCGUAAACGAUGCACACUAGAUCGAUGCAGGUUUGGCCCUGUGUCGGUCGUAGAGAAAUUCUUAAGUGUGCCGCCUGGGGAGUACGGUCGCAAGGCUAAAACUCAAAGGAAUUGACGGGGGCUCACACAAGCGGUGGAGCAUGUUGCUUAAUUCGAAACAACGCGAAGAACCUUACCAGGGUUUGACAUGCAUGGAUUAGCCUCUAGGAAACUAGGGUGACGCCCUUGGGUGGAACAUGCACAGGUGCUGCAUGGCUGUCGUCAGCUCGUGCUG